AUUGAACGCUGGCGGCAGGCCUAACACAUGCAAGUCGAACGAGUGGCGGACGGGUGAGUAAUGUCUGUGAAACUGCCUGAUGGAUGGGGAUAACUACUGGAAACGGUAGCUAAUACCGCAUACCAUCCGAUGUUCCCAGAUGGCAUUAGCUAGUGGGUGGGGUAACGGCUCACCAAGGCAACGAUCCCUAGCUCGUCUGAGAGGAUGACCAGCCACACGGGAACGGAGACACGGUCCAGACUCCUACGGGAGGCAGCAGUGGGGAAUAUUGCACAAUGGGCGAAAGCCUGAUGCAGCCAUGCCGCGUGUAUGAAGAAGGCCUUCGGGUUGUAAAGUACUUUCAGCGGGGAGGCGUUACCCGCAGAAGAAGCACCGGCUAACUCCGUGCCAGCAGCCGCGGUAAUAC
rnacentral:rRNA from 1 species